GAGCUCACUGCGGCAGCACAUAGACUAAAAUUGGAACAAUACAGAGAAGCUUAGCAUGGACCUGCGCGAGGAUGGCAUCAAAUCUGUGAAGCGUUCCACAUAAAU
ensembl:snRNA U6 U6 spliceosomal RNA